rnacentral:rRNA from 1 species
AGNGCNCACCACGCAAGGGAGGCAGGCCCCCAAGGAGUGACUGGUAACUGGGGUG